UACGUAGGGAGCAAGCGUUGUCCGGAAUCAUUGGGCGUAAAGCGCGCGUAGGUGGCCCUGUAAGUCCGUUGUGAAAGUCAAAGGCUCAACCUUUGAAAGCCGAUGGAUACUGCAGGACUAGAGUACGGAAGAGGCGAGUGGAAUUCCUGGUGUAGCGGUGGAAUGCGCAGAUAUCAGGAGGAACACCGGUGGCGAAGGCGGGUCUCUGGGCCGUAACUGACGCUGAGGAGCGAAAGCGUGGGGAGCAAACAGG
rnacentral:rRNA from 1 species